rnacentral:rRNA from 1 species
CCUACGGGAGGCAGCAGUGAGGAAUAUUGGUCAAUGGGCGAGAGCCUGAACCAGCCAAGUCGCGUGAGGGAAGACGGUCCUAUGGAUUGUAAACCUCUUUUGUCGGGGAGCAAAAGACGCCACGUGUGGCGUUUCGAGAGUACCCGAAGAAAAAGCAUCGGCUAACUCCGUGCCAGCAGCCGCGGUAAUACGGAGGAUGCGAGCGUUAUCCGGAUUUAUUGGGUUUAAAGGGUGCGCAGGCGGAAGAGCAAGUCAGCGGUAAAAUUGCGGGGCUCAACCUCUUCGAGCCGUUGAAACUGGUUUUCUUGAGUGAGUGAGAAGUAUGCGGAAUGCGUGGUGUAGCGGUGAAAUGCAUAGAUAUCACGCAGAACUCCGAUUGCGAAGGCAGCAUACCGGCGCUCAACUGACGCUCAUGCACGAAAGUGUGGGUAUCGAACAGGAUUAGAUACCCGGGUAGUC